ACUAGGUGAAUAGCCUCAGUGGUGGAGCGGCCCGGCAUGAAACCGAACUGGUUCCCAGAUAUAUUCGUCGCCUCCCUCAUUCGCGCCUCAAUCACCCUUUCCCAAACCUUCAUCGUGUGGCUCAUUAGUUUAAUACCCCUAUAGUUGUUGCAGCACUGGAUGUCCCCUUUGUUCUUGUUUUAAAAUACACAUUACCGGAAUAUAUAUCUAUAUUUGUUAAGAAAAACUAUGAAAACAGCAGUAAUCAGCACUAAUUACUAUUUGGUAUCCACUUAAACUAAAGCCAUUGAUGCGGGGAUUGGAAAUGAAUUGAAGGCAGCGCUGCCAGAUUGACUUCUUGGGUCGUUCUAAAGAGUUGUAAUAUUUUGUUUAAAACAUAAUAAUGUAUGAUCUGUGCAUAUAAUUUCUAAUUUUGUAUAAAUUCACAGUUGAUAUCCAUUGGGAUUUGGCUUUUGA
rnacentral:lncRNA from 1 species